GACGAACGCUGGCGGCGCGCCUAACACAUGCAGGUCGAACGAGCGAGAGAGAGCUUGCUUUCUCGAGCGAGUGGCGAACGGGUGAGUAACGCGUGAGGAACCUGCCUCAAAGAGGGGGACAACAGUUGGAAACGACUGCUAAUACCGCAUAAGCCCACGGGUCGGCAUCGACCAGAGGGAAAAGGAGCAAUCCGCUUUGAGAUGGCCUCGCGUCCGAUUAGCUAGUUGGUGAGGUAACGGCCCACCAAGGCAACGAUCGGUAGCCGGACUGAGAGGGUGAACGGCCACAUUGGGACUGAGACCCGGCCCAGACUCCUACGGGAGGCAGCAGUAGGGAAUAUUGCACAAUGUGGGAAAACCUGAUGCAGCGACGCCGCGUGGAGGAAGAAGGUCUUCGGAUUGUAAACUCCUGUUGUUGGGGAAGAUAAUGACGGUACCCAACAAGGAAGUGACGGCUAACUACGUG
rnacentral:rRNA from 1 species